rnacentral:misc_RNA from 1 species
UUUCCGUAGGUGAACCUGCGGAAGGAUCAUUAAUGAGUUGUCAUGGGGUUCGAUGCUGGCAGCCAAUUUUUGGAUGCAUGUGCUUGCCCUAACAAUCAUCUUCCAAACACCUGUGCACAUUUUUGAGGGAGUCUUGAGUUGGUUGCCGCUCUUGGGUGAUUUUCUCACAUUCCCUUAUAUCAUUAUACGCUAUUAACAAUGUUGAACGUGCUCUGUGCCGCAAGGCUAUUAAUAUAAUACAACUUUUAACAACGGAUCUCUUGGCUCUC